GUUGGGAAUAUUGGACAAUGGAGGAAACUCUGAUCCAGUGACGCCGCGUGAAGGAUUAAGGCCCUAUGGGUCGUAAACUUCUUUUGUCGGGGAACAAAAUCGGGGACGAGUCCCCGACUGCGUGUACCCGAAGAAAAAGCAUCGGCUAACUCCGUGCCAGCAGCCGCGGUAAUACGGAGGAUGCGAGCGUUAUCCGGAUUUAUUGGGUUUAAAGGGUGCGUAGGCGGUUUGGUAAGUCAGCGGUAAAAGCCCGGGGCUCAACCCCGGCGAGCCGUUGAAACUGUCGGACUAGAGACGGAGAGAAGUAGGCGGAAUGCGCAGUGUAGCGGUGAAAUGCAUAGAUAUUGCGCAGAACUCCGAUUGCGAAGGCAGCCUACCGGCUCCGGUCUGACGCUGAGGCACGAAAGCGUGGGUAUCGAACAGGA
rnacentral:rRNA from 1 species